CAGAGAUGACCUUGACAAGUCUGAGGACCUCUGACCUCUGACAAGUUUGAGGACCACCCUCCCCCCCAAGGCUGCCAGGCUUAGAACUUUACAAGACCACUCUUCCCCUGAGAGGGGGACCAUUGGCAACUCCUCCUGUGUGGGUUUUUGUAUUUCUGCUGGAGGAAGGAAAGGCCUGAAUAUGCAGCAAGCUCUUAUGUUCUUCAAUUGAGUAGAGAACUUAAAUCUGGAGUUUGGACAGGAAACUGGAACUCAGUGGGAGGUCUGUGAGGGUGGAGGAUGGGGGUGCUUCCAGGCUUUCAAAACACAAAACAGGUGGUUUUCAGCGGUGCUGGCUGGCUGGGGAGAGGUGGGGAGGGGAGGGGUGAAUACAAAGUAGGCAGGCUUCUGGAUGGGUAGGGCUGGGGCCUGCUGCCAGGGCUGGCUGCCUGAGAGUAGACAGUGACCAGGUGAGGGCCCAAACUUCCCUGCAUGCUGCUCCGGAAAAUCCUGGGACUGCCAAGAGGCUCAGGGAGGAACCUUGACUCCGGACUGGGAAAUGCUCAAAAGUGGGAGUCCAGCCAAGCUGAGGCCCCUGAAAAAGACCAGGAAGCAGAGUGGCAGGAACUCCUUCCUCUGAUGAAUCAGCAAGUGAUGUGGGCGACAAGGAAUCCGAAGCCAUGAGCCCAGCCAGAGGCAGCAUCAGCCAAGUCUGACAGGCUUUAAUUAUUUUAGGAAUCUGAGUGCAUACUAAGAUAUUCCCCAAAGGAAUGGGUCAGGAUCACACCUUACCAAAAGCAAACAAAACAAGCAAAAAACUCUGGCACAAAUAAGAUGUUUGAAAGUUAUCAGAAGCAUCUGUUCAGUAUGUUUCGAAAGCCAACUUGCUUAGUUCUGUGAAGCAAUGUCUGGGUUGGUGCCUAUGGAAAACAGAAG